UUGCAGUGAUGCUGAGCAAACUGAGUCAGUGCUGUGCUGGGCACACUGGUGGCUGUCUUUGGGACUCGGGAACCAGCCUAACAUAUGUUAUGAGGAACAAGACAGCUUUGCAACACACAGAAUUAUUCUGACAUGGUAAUUCAGGCUACGCUGUUCCUACUGGGCUGUCCAACUGAAGGAAACGUACUUCUGGAGCUAAGACUUAGAAAGCUACUGCCAAGCCUAAACCGCUACCUCUGCCAGCCUGUCUGCUGACCAGGGUGAGAGGCAGUGUGAUUCUUAAACCUUGC